UCCCAGAACGCCAGGAUCACGGCCUGAGCCGAAGGCGACGCUUAACGACUGAGCCACCCAGGAGUUGAAGACCAAAGAGAGACUGCAAUGACCCUAAACUGCCCUCACUUUUAUUGGGGAGCUCAGCUGGGCUGCAAGGCCCCAGCUCUGCCCCCGCUGCAGCGGGCCUUGCAGACAUACCGUUGUAUGGCCCCAGGUGCCUUCCAGCGGACAGCAGCUGGUGUUCCAGCUCUUUCAAAACACAGCUUGGGACCCAAUCGCGGAGAGAAUCUCCAAGGGUAGAGAGGCUAUACAAGGAAUGUCACCCCUAGAUAAAAAGAAAUAUUUAGCCUCCAUGUGACACAGAGAGGAAUUUCUCUGGCAGCUACGAAUGUUUAACUAGUUCAUUCUUUUGCCCUGCCCUGUGGUUUCCCCUAGUCUAAUGCACCCUUAAAAGGGCAGAGAUGAGGUAACACGGUUUCUCUUCAUAAUCUUCAUCCCUGUGUUGUAAUCGGGAUCAUGAAAAAACCUGUCAAACAAGAAAUGUUACUGAGUGGCAGAAUGUAAAAACAUGUACUUCCCCAGGAGAAAGUAAAACUGUCUGGGAAAGGGAAGAAAGUGCCUGUUCUUUUAAUGUUAUCACUCAUCUCUAGGGGGGCUUCUUGUGUUUGGCACCCCGCAUUGGCCAUUAUCAAUAUUUGAAGUAACUCUGCAGAAAGUUCCCAUUUCCAAAAAGCUUCAUUAACACAAGUUGCCCUCUUCACGCCGCUAAGAGUCUCAGUGCUACAUGGAAAAUGGACCUGCAGAACGUGAACGUGGUGACAAGUAAAACUUUCCUUCUCAAUAAGAGACAAGAGAUUUAUAGGAAAAUUUUUGGAAAGAAUAAUCGAGUAGCGGGAAUGAAUUUUAGAUUUAAAAUAAAAAGAAAGGGAGAAAGGACGACCUCUUCGUAAGACAGAAGGUGGGUCAGAAAGCAAGAGAACCCUGGGCAUCCAGAAGUGCAGAGUGGAAGUAGGAGGUGUGUCAAAAGUGGACCAAAAAUUAGAAAGGGGAAGCUGAAAAUACAAAAAGGAGAUUUUCCUGUGAACUAAUCCAAUUAAUUUUCAUUGAUGUAUUAACAGAGAAAUUAUGAGUCAAGGACUUACUUGGUUAGCAAUGGUUAUAACUAGAGGUUGGUAGGCUUUCUUUUUUUUCCUCCGUGUAGGACUUGUGAGUACAGUUUGGUAAAAUUGUGUAUUCUCUAAAAAAUUUGUUUGGGCUUAAAUUCAAUGUGGUAAGUGGGAUGAAAAUUUUGGAAAUUCCUCUUAACAUCUAAAGGUCUUUGUAGAUUUGUGAUAAUCCAAUGCCUUUAUAUUCAUUUCCAUAUUAAUUUCUUUUCCUGUUACUUUUUUGGUAAAAAAAAAAAAAAAAAAAAAAAAAAAGUUCCUGCCUGGUCUCACAGUUUAAUAGAAUAUGAUUGCCAACCCUCUUCUCAUCCUACCAUUGUGUUGUUCUCUAACAAAAAAUAAAACGGAGGGGGAAGGAUACUAUUAAAGCCAUUUAGUUUAUUAUU